rnacentral:rRNA from 1 species
UCAAGAGUUUGAUUCAUGGCUCAGGAUGAACGCUGGCGGCGUGCCUAAUACAUGCAAGUCGAGCGAACGGACGAGAAGCUUGCUUCUCUGAUGUUAGCGGCGGACGGGUGAGUAACACGUGGAUAACCUACCUAUAAGACUGGGAUAACUUCGGGAAACCGGAGCUAAUACCGGAUAAUAUUUUGAACCGCAUGGUUCAAAAGUGAAAGACGGUCUUGCUGUCACUUAUAGAUGGAUCCGCGCUGCAUUAGCUAGUUGGUAAGGUAACGGCUUACCAAGGCAACGAUGCAUAGCCGACCUGAGAGGGUGAUCGGCCACACUGGAACUGAGACACGGUCCAGACUCCUACGGGAGGCAGCAGUAGGGAAUCUUCCGCAAUGGGCGAAAGCCUGACGGAGCAACGCCGCGUGAGUGAUGAAGGUCUUCGGAUCGUAAAACUCUGUUAUUAGGGAAGAACAUAUGUGUAAGUAACUGUGCACAUCUUGACGGUACCUAAUCAGAAAGCCACGGCUAACUACGUGCCAGCAGCCGCGGUAAUACGUAGGUGGCAAGCGUUAUCCGGAAUUAUUGGGCGUAAAGCGCGCGUAGGCGGUUUUUUAAGUCUGAUGUGAAAGCCCACGGCUCAACCGUGGAGGGUCAUUGGAAACUGGAAAACUUGAGUGCAGAAGAGGAAAGUGGAAUUCCAUGUGUAGCGGUGAAAUGCGCAGAGAUAUGGAGGAACACCAGUGGCGAAGGCGACUUUCUGGUCUGUAACUGACGCUGAUGUGCGAAAGCGUGGGGAUCAAACAGGAUUAGAUACCCUGGUAGUCCACGCCGUAAACGAUGAGUGCUAAGUGUUAGGGGGUUUCCGCCCCUUAGUGCUGCAGCUAACGCAUUAAGCACUCCCGCCCUGGGGGGG